UACGAAGGUCCCAAGCGUUAUCCGGAUUUAUUGGGUUUAAAGGGUGCGUAGGCGGACUAUUAAGUCAGUGGUGAAAGCCCCAAGCUUAACUUGGGAACUGCCAUUGAUACUGAUGGUCUUGAGUACAUUUGAGGUGGGCGGAAUGUGUCAUGUAGCGGUGAAAUGACUUAGAUAUGACACAGAACACCGAUUGCGAAGGCAGCUCACUAAACUGUAAACUGACGCUGGAGGCACGAAAGCGUGGGGAGCAAACAGG
rnacentral:rRNA from 1 species